GAUGAAGAACGCAGCGAACGUGCGAAACGUAAUGUGAAUUGCAGAAUUCAGUGAAUCAUCGAAUCUUUGAACGCACAUUGCGCCCGGUAGUAUUCUGCCGGGCAUGCCUGUUCGAGCGUCAUUUCAACCAUCAAGCCCCAGCGCUUGUGUUGGGGGCCUGCGGCUGCCGCAGCCUCCUAAAAGCAGUGGCGGGCUCGCUAUCACACCGAGUGCAGUAAUUUUAUCUUCUCUCCGGUCUUGUGAGGCGGGUUCCGGCCGUGAAACACCCCACUACAUUCAAGGUUGACCUCGGAUCAGGUAGGAAUACCCGCUGAACUUAAGCAUAUCAAUAAGCGGAGGA
rnacentral:misc_RNA from 1 species